rnacentral:rRNA from 1 species
UACGUAGGGGGCAAGCGUUGUCCGGAUUUAUUGGGCGUAAAGAGCGUGUAGGCGGUCAGGUAGGUCCGUUGUGAAAACUCGAGGCUCAACCUCGAGACGCCGAUGGAAACCAUCUGACUAGAGUCCGGAAGAGGAGAGUGGAAUUCCUGGUGUAGCGGUGAAAUGCGCAGAUAUCAGGAAGAACACCCGUGGCGAAGGCGGCUCUCUAGUACGGUACUGACGCUGAGACGCGAAAGCGUGGGGAGCGAACAGG